UACGUAGGAGGCAAGCGUUGUCCGGAAUUACUGGGCGUAAAGCGCGUGUAGGUGGUGGGACAAGUCUGCUGUGAAAGCGCCUGGCUUAACCGGGCGAGGUCGGCGGAAACUGUUUCACUGGAGGACGGGUAGAGGGGGGUGGAAUUCCCAGUGUAGAGGUGAAAUGCGUAGAGAUCGGGAGGAACACCAGUGGCGAAGGCGGCACCCUGGACCAGCACUGACACUGAGGCACGAAAGCGUGGGGAGCAAACAGGGAUUAAGAAACC
rnacentral:rRNA from 1 species